rnacentral:rRNA from 1 species
UACGUAGGGCGCAAGCGUUGUCCGGAAUUAUUGGGCGUAAAGAGCUCGUAGGCGGUCUGUCGCGUCUGCUGUGAAAACUCAGGGCUUAACCCUGAGCUUGCAGUGGGUACGGGCAGACUAGAGUGCGGUAGGGGAGACUGGAAUCCUGGUGUAGCGGUGAAAUGCGCAGAUAUCAGGAGGAACACCGGUGGCGAAGGCGGGUCUCUGGGCCGAUACUGACGCUGAGGAGCGAAAGCGUGGGGAGCAAACAGG